GACAGAGGUGCCGAGCGUUAGGCGGAAUCACUGGGCUUAAAGCGUGUGUAGGCGGCUCUGCAAGUCGGAUGUGAAAGCCCCGGGCUCAACCCGGGAAGUGCACUCGAUACUGCAGAGCUAGAGUGUGGGAGAGGUUGGUGGAAUUCUCGGUGUAGAGGUGAAAUUCGUAGAUAUCGAGAGGAACACCGGCGGCGAAGGCGGCCAACUGGACCACUACUGACGCUGAGACACGAAAGCGUGGGGAGCAAACAGG
rnacentral:rRNA from 1 species